ACGGGAGGUGAGAGCGAGGCCGCGAAUGAAUGAAAAAUUACAUUUUAUGUACGGAGUCAAAAUCAUAAACACACAAUUAACUUCCUAAUUGUCCCAAUAUGUACAAACAUUCAAAUAUUGUGUUAAGAACAGGGAAUGCCAAAGCUGUCAGUGUUAUGACAGCACUGCAUGUGUUACAAAGCGCUCAGGGCUGAGAAGUGUGAGAUAAUAACGAAUGAAAAUAUCUGUCUUGUCUGUCUGAGACAUUUAAAAUCAACAAAAUACGAAUGCAUACAAACAGGCAGUGGGUUACAAUAACAGGGUAAAUAUGCCCUAAGGAUCCCAAAAAAGGUGACAACAAAUUUCCCACACAGCCUGUGUUCCCACAGUAGUUCAGCAGUUUAGUCCAAACAUGGAUUCGAUUAAAACUAGCUGCCUCUGAGGUCGUGGAGUAAAAUCCCUCCAAAAAGUAAUUUAUGUGAAUAGUUGAAGAGUUUAAGAUACUUAUAUUUCUUGUAUUUUUAUAACCAGUCAAAAAAACUGUAUUAAAACGUCAGAGUUUGAAGUUAUACACUGAAGAGUUAAAGUAAGAUAAGUACAGCUAUAAAAGUCCUGAGAUGAGAUAAGUUUACUCAUCGAAUAGAUAACACAUGUGGUUAAUUCUAGAGAUUAAAUAUGUUUCCCUAUUGUAUUAUAAUUCAUGCUGUUUCUAGUAUUUACUGUGUUCAAUCACAGACUGUGUGUUUCUGCUCCUAUCAGCUGUCAGACUUAUCAGUGGAACAAGUCAGGCGCUAACUGUUAAAAAUGGAUUACCAUGUGGGUAUUGGGAUGUAAUUAAAAAAUAAUCAAACAGUCUUUCAUUCAUUGUCUGCAGCUGUUCAAAAUAAUGACAUCACAGAGUCAGUUUACACAGUGACCAGGUUGGUGGAUGUAGAAGUGGUCUAGCAAUGACCCAAAAGGGAAUUUAAUCUGCAGCCUGCAAAGCACGACUGAGCAAGUUUGUGAUAACAAACCGAGCUCCACUGAUACACCUACAAGAAAGUAGGAGGCUUGUGAACACUGGGACGGGAGGGAAGCUUUUGAAAAAGAGAAAAUCUGUGAUAAACACUCUUGCUAAUCUGCUGUUUCUAAAUAACAAAGCCUGCCGGAGAGCGAGAGGGAGCUUAAUCCUAAAUACAGGAGGAACAAGUGCAGAGUAGCAUCUAGGUCACACGCUGCACCACAACUGCAGCAACAAGGAGGGGGCUGAGCCAAAAUUAGGCACAGCAGAGGUGCCCAAUGUCCAGAGGUGAUAAGAAGAUGGAGGAGGUUGCCACGAUGGAGGGCCAAAAUGGGAUUUAUCCAGACCAAAGUCAACCUGCAGUGCAGUAUUUUCUAUACGGAUGACAUUAAAACCCAAUUCCUUCCCUCAGAAAUAAACAGGGAGCAAAAUUCAUUCCACUCUUUGUGCAUUAUUAUUACAGUUAGCAACAAUUUAGUCUUUAGGAGUAGACAAUAACAUAAAUGUAACUAAAUCAACAUUGCAAACAAUAUC